rnacentral:lncRNA from 1 species
GAUAAAUUACAUGGCCAGCCACAGUGCCUGGCAUUAAGUGAAGGAAACAGAACCACUAGAAAAAAUAUUCCUUUUUGCAGUCAGGUCAUUCCAGACCAAAAAAACCUCAAAUCCUUAUAUGUUUUUAAGCUGUUAGGACUGCAUAUAGAACAUGGGAUGUGGUUGGCCAUAUAAUCUGCAUCUAUCACACAGCAAACUACAGAACUGGGAUGUUGGUUUUUGCUCACAUCAUGUUAAAGUACUGCUUCACAAGUUUUAACAGAUA